GACGAACGCUGGCGGCGUGCUUAACACAUGCAAGUCGAACGGAGUGGCGAACGGGUGAGUAACACGUGGGUGACCUGCCCUGCACUUCGGGAUAAGCCUGGGAAACUGGGUCUAAUACCGGAUAGUGGGGGAUGGGCCCGCGGCCUAUCAGCUUGUUGGUGGGGUAAUGGCCUACCAAGGCGGCGACGGGUAGCCGGCCUGAGAGGGGGGACGGGCACAUGGGGACUGAGGAACGGGCCAGACUCCUACGGGGGGCAGCAGUGGGGAAUAGUGCACAAUGGGCGGAAGCCGGAUGCAGGGACGCCGGGUGGGGGAUGACGGCCUUCGGGGUGUAAACUCCUUUCACCAUCGACGCGGUAGAUGGAGAAGAAGCACCGGCUAACUACGUGCCAGCAGCCGCGGUAAUAC
rnacentral:rRNA from 1 species